rnacentral:rRNA from 1 species
AGUGAACGCUAGCGGUAGGCCUAACACAUGCAAGUCGAACGGCAGCACAGUAAGAGCUUGCUCUUACGGGUGGCGAGUGGCGGACGGGUGAGGAAUACAUCGGAAUCUACUUUUUCGUGGGGGAUAACGUAGGGAAACUUACGCUAAUACCGCAUACGACCUACGGGUGAAAGCAGGGGAUCUUCGGACCUUGCGCGAUUGAAUGAGCCGAUGUCGGAUUAGCUAGUUGGCGGGGUAAAGGCCCACCAAGGCGACGAUCCGUAGCUGGUCUGAGAGGAUGAUCAGCCACACUGGAACUGAGACACGGUCCAGGCUCCUACGGGAGGCAGCAGUGGGGAAUAUUAGACAAUGGGCGCAAGCCUGAUCCAGCGAUACCGCGUGGGUGGAGAAGGCCUUCGGGUUGUAAAGCCCUUUUGUUGGGAAAGAAAAGCAGCAGGUUAAUACCCCGCUGUUCUGACGGUACCCAAAGAAUAAGCACCGGCUAACUUCGUG